AAUCAUCAGUUUGGAACCUAUUCAGGGAAAGGUUCACAAGUUUCUUUUCUUCAUUAGAAUAGAGCCUGUAAGAAUGUGGUAUCUCACACUAGCGGCAAGCAUAAAUUACUAUGUGUCGAUGGUAUCAUCUGGAGUGAUGUCGGAAUCUAAUCAGCGCUGCGCAAUUUUGUUCCAAAAUACAGCUCCCUGCUUCAUAUUUCUACUGCUCGUCGCAUAUUUGUUUUAUCGUGAAAAAACGGUAUUUCAGGUAACCAAUGCAGUUGCUGUUAAGACAAGUUUGUGCUGCAUCUUUGGUGCAAUAUUGAUUGGUUUACUACAUACCGUUUGUGGACUGCGACACCCGGGCAAUUUCAGUAUGAUAUUCUAUUUUGAGAAGAUUGCACUUGCCUGCUUAAUUGUAAUGCAUGUGUUUCGGUGGUUCACAAUGGAACAUUCCCCACACAAUUUCAUAUUCAAUAUAGUGGCUAGCUUAAUUGCGUUAUCUUUGCUUUGCACUGAUGCCACAAACAAAUGGCAUAGAAUUAUUGCAAUGUGUAGCGCUGGAGGCAGAGUUGUGGAGCUUUUGACUUGGACGAUUUGGUGUAAGCUUGGAAGGCACCCAUUCAUUGUCAUAGAGCCUGCGAAUGUUCCUUAAGAUAAUCAACGACGAAAAUCAAGCUUAACGUUUAUCAAUGAAGACAUUUUGAGAUGCCUGUGUGGUGUAAAUCAGGGAAUUGGUGUGAGCUUAGGUGAACAAGGGAUCAGAUAGAGCUUCAUCUAGUCCUCUCUUUUCUUUUCUUUUUUGUGAUGCCCUGAGGGGCGACAAGGUUUUGACAUAAUCAUCAUGUUUGAUGUUGCUGGGUUAUAUCUUCUCAUUCAAUCAUAUAUUUUAGGAGCUAUAAUAUUUUAGCCAUGUAAAGGAGUGGAGAAUUAAACAUGAUUGUACAACUCACAUUGUGCAAUUGUGCGGCAGGGUGGUUAUACUCCCUCCGUUCCUAAAUAUAAGUCUUUGUAGA